ACCUCCACCUAAACUCCGUGUGAGGUUCAGGUCGAUGGGUGUUCCAGUUAGCUCCGGUUGGGUUGAAGCUAGGUGGCUACAUCCGUUAGCUCGGCUCCCACCUCCGCUUUAGCUUUGGGUUAGCCAGGGUUAGCUUCAGGUUAGCUCGUAGCUAGUUCGCCUGGGUGUCGUCACUCGAGCCCAGCCUUACAGCCACACCCUCAGCGCCUCCUCUCUUCCCUUUUAUGGAAUUGUCUGGGCUGGACGGAACCUGUGACACGGUCAAAAUGGCGGUGGUGGACACCUCCCAUUAUGGACAGAUAACGUGUUAUUGAAGCCUAUGGAAUCGAAUUGUCCAGUAUAUGUACAGUCUAUGUUUGCACGCCGGCUGUGGAUUUUCAACAGGCAGAGAAAGGGGAGAGCUAUUAAGUUUUAAACGACUGCAGGUGUCCAGGGUCAGGAGAGGCUUUACCUGUCCUGGGAGAGAGGCCUUCUACUGUCAUCAUGUUAUUGUUAUUUAGCUGUUUGAUAUUUGAACACAUUUAUUAAAACAAAUACUAACUGAGAA